UAUAUAUAUUUCUUUUUCGGGUAUACAAAUUUCCAUGUAAAACAUUAAUAAUACUUUUGUCAGAAUUAAGAAGACUGAGAGAUCUAGGAGGCUGACUACGAAGAGGACAGGGCGUUACGAGCGCGUCGCGGGACGAUUUGCAAAUCUUUGGCGUAUGCGGUGACGGUGGCGGCUGGCUGGCACGCGCCGUAUGUAAUUCAAUCGGGUAUUUCGUCGAGGACAAGAGAAGGCCCGGGGGUGAUAAGUGGACGAGCCGGCUAUCCGGACAGAUGCAGCUUGGUCGGCCCGCUCCUUCAACCCUUUCUCAAAAUAACGAAAUUCGAUACGUUCCGAAGACGUUUGGUUAAAUUGCCAUCCGCAAUGACGGAUGUACGAGUAAUAAGAGGACGUGAACCAUGGGGACAUCGAGGAGAGGGAAGACACGUCUAAUUGCGCCAGUAUUCUGGAAUUGCUUUAAAGCAUUAACUCGAACGUUGCAGAGAGGUAUACAACCCCCCAAGAUGGCUGCUCCCGGGCGUAUCGACGUUUGGCGUUUGGAGGGUU